GCUUCAGCACGAUAAGAUUCCUUGCACCCAUUCAACAAUUCAGAUAACCUCGCGGCCAAACUUUGCUUUGCUGCAGGAGAAACACCGUGCUUUCCAACGAUCGACUCUAGAACUGCCUCGGAAAGUAGUUUGUUUUCUAUCACCGUGUUUGCAGCUUCAGGUACAGAUGCAUCUCUAGAGAAGCUAAUCUGUGGCGAAAGCAAGGGGGAAAGAUGUCAAAAUCCGAUGUAAACUACAGAAGUAACCAUCCAAAAGUAGGAUUACUAACCGUUAGUGAUCCUUUGGGAGAUUGCGUGAAAAGAAUGGAGGCGCCGGGUGGGAAGUUUUGAUCUUUGAAGACCUCAAGGAACUUUUCAAUGGCUUUGCCUUCUGCAUCAGUGUAAAUUCCGAUUGACUUCCAAAAGGCAACGCAAUUCUCCGAAACUUUGUCAGAGUAUUGCUGGCCUGUGAGUGGCAGUAUCGUUGUCACUUGAAUGAAUUUCUCAAACGGACCUACAAAAGGAUAGCGAAGAUCAUAAACCGCGCUACAAAACUAUAGUCAUAUCUUUAGUAACUGUUUCCUAUGCCUCAAGUAAUCACCAUAACCAGAAGAUAGCACUACAUUUUGAGAGAUUCAUUCAUUCUAAUUGGCUGGUCAGGACUAAAUUACCACCAUAACCAUGAGCAUACAUAAGUUUAAAAAUGAGAGUAUAACUCAAGAAAUCUACGACAUUUGUUGAAUGUACAGAUCUAUAUCGGCAACUGAGAGAAGGGCGGGCCACAGGGGAUGAAUAAUGUAACAAUAUUCAACCAGUCGUUAAAACAGCGAAGAAAUCCGUGUUACCUGUAACGAUGUCCCUGAAGAACUCAACGGACUCCGUCAACUCCUCGGCCGUCUUACCCUUCCACUUAACGGCGAGCAGAGGCACGGCGUUUUCCUCCAAGUACACUCCGAUCGCCGUGAACUUCACGAAGUUCCCCUGAAUCUCCAGCCCCCUCACCCCUGCGCACGUUAGCAACCAAAAUACCGUCAAUCGGAACCAAAAGCAAGCAAAAAACAUUCAAACAAUCAGAAUCGCAGAUAUAAGCGGCGGAGAUGCAAAGUUUACAGACCUGCGCCUCCGAGGAACAGAGUGUUGGAGGAGCCCGGAGGUUUGACGGACGGUGGAAACGCAGUCGUCUCGACCUGGAGUCCGGCGAGCGAUGGCGUUGGAGCCAUUUGACAAUUUUGUUGUUAUUGUGUAGAGAGAGAGAUGGGGUUUGCUUUCGGAAACGGUGGAUUUAAAUAGAGAUGGAAAGUGGACGGGAGAGACCCGCUUCUCUGGGAAUAGAGAUGGAAAGUGGACGGGAGAGACCCGCUUCUCUGCCCUCCCACUUUUCAUACACACUCAUCGUUUCUGUUUUAUGAUCACGGUUAAGCUAUAUUAAAAUUUUAUAUUAAUCUUUUUAUAAAAAUAAUAAUAAUAUAAAAAUUUAACCCAACUUAAUACCUUAAUUGUAAUCGUAUAAAUAAAAAAAAGAUAAGAAUGUAUAAAAAAUAAAAGGACAGAGAGAGUCCAGGUCCGGACGGUAGAGGGUUUGAUGAGUAAGAAGAGGCGGUUGCGUGGGAGCCUUAAAGACGUGCGGGCGGCUGGAGGUAAGUCUGGGAGGUGUCCACAAACUGAUAGUCUGGUACCCAGAAAUAGAGAGAGAGAGAGAGAGAGAGUAAAAGAUUGUAAAGAACUUUUCUAAGGUAAAAAGAUAGUGAUUGGUCCAUCUUGGGUGAUGUGAUCAAUUAGUUUUAAUUAAUAGCUAAAAUAUCGAUAAUAUUGAAAAUAUCAGUAAUCUAAAAAUACGGAAAUUUUAAUGGAAAUAUCGAAAUAUUAUCGAUAUCGAUAAAAAUUGAAUAAAAAUCAUGAAAAUUGUAAGAAAACAUUGUAAGUGUAGAAAAUAUGUAGUAAUUAAUUAAAGAAGUUUAAACAUAUCAUAAUCAUUUAUAUAUUGUAUAACACAUAAACCUUAGGUGAAUUUAGAGUAAAUAAAUUUUUUAUUUGUUGAAAUUCCUUGAUAUUUUUUGCUAAAUUUUAGAAACUGUGUGUUUACAAAUAUAUUGAAGCAACUUUUUUUAUUUAACAAUUAUUAUUUAUGAAAUUUGAACUUAUAUAUCUUCUUUUUUUCAAAUAAAGUGAAAUUUAAGUAUAAUUAGACCAAAAUAUUAAAACUUAUUUAAUUUUUGUUAAAAUAAAUAAUAAAUAAUAAGGCAAAUAAAUAUUAAAAACAAAAAACAUUUAAGACAAUAGUUGCCAGGAGAUACCGGCAAUCCUUUAUUACGCGCGUUCCACUUCAGUACAUACAUCGCCACACACAGAGGAAUUAGAUCCGCUUCGGACCUUAGUGUGUUGAGCUUAAGGAUCAAAUUAUCUAGACCGUUGAUUAGUGUGUAAAAGAAAUCGGAACUGUUGAUUUUGUAUGAUAUCAGGAAAAUGAGUUAAUAAGGAUCUUGAGAUUGAAUUUAUAUGGUCCAGAUGAAUUGAUAUCUAGGCUCCGAACACUAAGAUCCGAAUCGGAUCCAAUUCCACAUAGAAGCACACGCGUUUUGUCUCCUUUCCUAAAUCAGCCCUAAUUCCAAUCUAAUCCAAUCCGCACACGAACCUCAAACCUUAAUUCCCAAAAUUUGUCCUCUAAUUCUUGCCAAAGCCCUCAAUUUCUCCCUUUUCCAAUCCCACCAUCUCCUCGUCCCAAACCCCAACCCUAAUCCAGAAGCAGAAUGCUUCUUACUCCGGGUCAUUAUCCUCGCCACCUCUCAUCCCCUUCGCCCUCUGCAAAUUCCGAUGCUUCCAUCCAAAACCCUACGAAUUCCACCCAAAUCACGCCCAAGAACCCUAAAAGCCAUCCACAGGUCCUCGACAAGGACACCUAUGUUGCGCCGAUCGAGAAGAUCAUCGAAAUUGACUUCUUUCACGAUAUUUCCAAGCUUCGAGACCGCCUCGACUAGCUCGAAGCGAUUAACACCCACGACUCAGUUCAGAUCCGAGAUGCCCAGUUGAAGAUCAUCGAGCGCCGCGGAAAGAAUGUAACUCAUAAUCCUGACCCUAAUGGUAGAAUCCCUGUGUUUCCCCCUUCCCCACUCAUUCGAACUUUCUCCCUCAUUCAUCUUCUUGUUUCUUCUCCCUCUAUCUCUGUAACUCUCCUUCCCGGAGCACAAGCACAACACACCCACACCCCACCGUGACCUCCACCACAGUGGCACACACUCCGGUGAACACCAUUACCACCUAUGGACCAUUCCUCCUCCCUUUCUCAACUCCCAGCGAGCACCAUUAGGCAAGAGGAGGCCUUGUUUGUUUUGGGAUCCGGAGAAAAGGGAUUGCUCAUUUUGAUGGGUUUGAGCGUGGAUUGCAGAGAGAGGCACUGAUCUUGGCAACUACGACGAUGGAGCCUCAACUGCAAUUUUGCGACGACGGAGCCUCGGCGAUAUUAUCGAUAAUAUCGCGAUAUAUUGAUGAUAAUUAAGUGGAUAAGUGUGAAAAUAUCGCCCUUUCAAAAAAACGAUAUUAUUGGCGAUAUUUCGCCGAUAAUAUCGAUAUUUUAGACCUUGGUUUUAAUUAUGAAAACAAUGAUUUAAUUUUGCGGUCCUCAAAGGGCAAAGAAGAAGAAACCAACUUUUCUAGGAUCAAAGGGUAGACAGCUACUUCUUAAAGGGUCAUCAAAUGGUUUUAAUUAUGAAAACCACCCACUUGCAUGGGGCUUUUUAUAUUUUUAAAGUUUGGGAUGUAUAGUAUAUGCAUAUAAUUUUUUUUUUUGAUAGAAAAAGAAAAUAUUAUAGCGAAAAAUCUCUUACACAGCUAGUACUAAUACAGUCAAAUUGAAAAGUUAGGUGAGCAUCCACAGGGUGACAAGCAUCCUAAAUACAAAGAUUCGAACAAUUAAGACCAAUAGACGCCAAAGCAUCCCAAAUACAUAAAAAAUUCACAUAUGUAUGUUCUUCUAUAAGAAAUAACAUAUUAUUCAAUAAUUAUUUACACAUGAUCAAUGGUGGAUCCAGGAUUUUAACAUAGGGUGGUCCUAAUAUACAAGUUCUAGAAGAAAAAAAAUCCGACUAAUAAAAUUUGCUCAAAAUCUGCAUAGGCUCAAAACAGCCACAUUUCCGGAUCUUCAGUGCUCCAAAACAGGCCCAAAAUGGCUAGAAUUAAAGCUUGAGAUGUCCCGAAGAUAAUUGUAUAGGGCCUCGAACCCAAAAGACACCAUAUUGGCUACCAAAAAACCCAAAACGUCACUUUGACAACACUGCACGUUGCCCAUUUAUUUGAUCACCAUAAAUAAACCGCUUAGUAUAAAAUUAUGAAACUUUGAUACGAUCAAUUCAACAGACUCACAAACAUCCUCCAAUUGGAAUCACUCCAAAAUUCAUUUGUUUGAUCACUUUUUGCCUCAGAGGAAGUCGAAUGUCCUACAUUAAGAUCAAAUUAUCAAAAUUCUACCAAAAUAACCAAUAAAUUAAUACUAAGAAUAGGGUAAAAUAUAUAGUAUAUUAUAGACUCAUCAACGUGUUAGAGUAAAAAUAUGGGUUAGGGGCCUUAGGCAGUUAACUAGAGCAGUGUGUCAGCCCCUUAGCAUUCAAGUUUGAAACUCUUUCUUCUUAAAUUUGAGUAGUUUAUAUUUUUUUGUUUGACAAGAAGAAAUAUAUUCUAAAGUACUCGAUUUUAUGGGAAAAGGGAAUCGAACUUGGAUGCAAAUAGUUAGACCCUCCCAACUGGUUGACACAAAGACAGAUUUGGUCCCAAAUUUGGGGUUUGGCUGGGUUCGAAAGCAAUGUUACAGGCAUAUCAGAUUAGGUAUAUUUACCAAUCGACAUCUAUAUUUGUUGAUUUGAAUUAAACAUAUAACAAUACAACACUAAUAUUUCUCAUAAAACAUGAUCAUUUUUCUUUAAAUUAAAUACGACAUAGCACUUUCCUAUAGCUUCAUAGAUUGUAUGUAAAUAAUUCACUAAACACAGAAUAGGAAUCCCUCUCAAGUUUUAUUUCUCCUCUCUCAGUUUUCAUGCCUCCACUUUUUCAUUUCCGGCUUCAGCACCAUUAGAUUCCUUGCACCCAUUCAACAAUUCGGAUAACCUCGCGGCCAAACUUUGCUUUGCUGCAGGAGAAACACCGUGCUUUCCAACGAUCGACUCUAGAACUGCCUCGGAAAGUAGUUUGUUUUCUAUCACCGCAUUUGCAGCUUCAGCUACGGAUGCAUUUCUAGAGAAGCUAAUCUGUGGCGAAAGCGAGAGAGAAAGUUGUCAAAAAUCCGAUGUAAACUACAGAAGUAACCAUCCAAAAGUAGGAUUACUAAAGUAGGAUUACUAACCGUUAGUGAUCCUUUGGGAGAUUGUGUGAAAAGAAUGGAAGCACCGGGUGGGAAAUUUUGAUCUUUGAAGACCUCAAGGAACUUUUCAAUGGCUUUGCCUUCUGCAUCAGUGUAAAUUCCGACUGACUUCCAAAAGACAACGCAAUUCUCCGAAACUUUGUCAGAGUAUUGCUGGCCUGUCAGUGGCAAUAUCGUUGUCACUUGAAUGAAUUUCUCAAACGGACCUACAAAAGGAUAGCGAAUAUCAUAAAUCACGCUACAAAACCCAAGUCAUAUCUUUAGUAACUGUUUCUUAUGCCUCAAGUAAUCAUCAUAACCAGAACAUAGCACUAUAUCUUGAGAGAUUCAUUCAUUCUAAUUGGCUAGUCAGGACUAAAUUACCACCAUAAGCACACAUAAAUGUACAAACUUAGAAUACAACUUGAAAAAUUUACAACAUUCAUCGACCACGACAGAUCUAUAUCGGCCUCUGAGAGAACGGUGGGCAGUAGGAUUGCCUCAGUUUGCCAUGACUACCAAUCAUUCUAAAACGGCUCCACCUUAAGAUGCAGGGCAUGAGCAAUAUCUACACUUUCAACAGCAUCAACAAGAGCUCAAAUCAAUUUACCAAAAGAUACAGAAGGCAUCCAUUUGAAGAUUAAUAUGAUUAUAGUUUGAAUCUGACCGUGCAACCGGACUAUGAUAAAUAGAAGGGAAGAUAUAUAUGAAACCAACUUAUCUUUAACAAGUCAUCCACUUGUGUGAACCUUUUUUAAUGUGAAAAUGUACUUAUGAAAAGGUACGGAUAAAGGGUCAAACAUAUAUAAGUUAAAUAAAAUUGUUAAAUAAAGAGUCGAAAAUAUGUAUUCAUAGGUCGAACAUCAAUGAAUUUUGCUCCAAAAGAAGUCAAAAGUUAACUUAAACUCUAAAUUUGACUUAUUUCAUCUCUAAUACACUGAAAAAAAUUAGUUAUAUAUAUGAAUAAUUUUUCGUUCUAUCUGGUAAAUUUAGCUAAAAUUGGUUUCACCAUAGCAUGCAAUUUUAUUCCUUUGCUAAUUAUAACACGACAAAGUAACAAAUUUGCAUUGGUAACUGGAAUUUACUGUCAAAAUUCAAACGGUUGUUAAAACAGCAAAGAAAUCCCCGGUACCUGUAACGAUGUCCCUGAAGAACUCAACGGACUCCAUCAACUCCUCGGCUGUCUUACCCUUCCACUUAACGGCGAGCUGAGGCACGGCGUUAUCCUCCAAGUACACUCCGAUUGCCGUGAACUUCACGAAGUUCCCCUGAAUCUCCAGCCCCCUCACCCCUGCGCAUGUUAGGAAGCAAAGUACCGUCAAUCAAAACCAAAAGCAACAAACAAUCAUAAUUACGGAUAUAAGCGCCGGACAUGCAAAGUUUACAAACCUGCGCCGCCGAGGAACAGAGUGUUGGAGGAGCCCGGAGGUUUGACGGACGGUGGAAACGCAGUCGUUUCGACCUGAAGUCCGGCGAGCGACGGUGGUGGAGCUAUUUGACAAUCUUUCUCAUUUCCGGCUUUGGCAUCUUUAGAUUCAUUACACCCGUUCAACAAUUUGGAUAACCUUUCGGCCAAACUUUGCUUUGCUGCAGGGGAAACACCGUGCUUUCCAACGAUCGACUCUAGAACUGCCUCGGAAAGUAGUUUGUUUUCUAUCACCGUGUUUGCAGCUUCAGGUACGGAUGCAUCUCUAGAGAAGCUAAUCUGUGGCGAAAGCAAGGGGGAAAGAUGUCAAAAUCCGAUGUAAACUACAGACGUAACCAUCCAAAAGUAGGAUUACUAACCGUUAGUGAUCCUUUGGGAGAUUGCGUGAAAAGAAUGGAGGCGCCGGGUGGGAAGUUUUGAUCUUUGAAGACCUCAAGGAACUUUUCAAUGGCUUUGCCUUCUGCAUCAGUGUAAAUUCCGAUUGACUUCCAAAAGGCAACGCAAUUCUCCGAAACUUUGUCAGAGUAUUGCUGGCCCUGUCAGUGGGCAGUAUGUUGUCACUUGAAUGAAUUUCUCAAAGGACCUACAAAAAGGAUAGCGAAGAUCAUAAACGCGCUACAAAACUAUAGUCAUAUCUUUAGUAACUAACUGUUUCCUAUGCCUCAAGUAAUCACCAUAACCAGAAGAUAGCACUACAUUUUGAGAGAUUCAUUCAUUCUAAUUGGCUGGUCAGGACUAAAUUACCACCAUAACCAUGAGCAUACAUAAAUUUAAAAAUGAGAGUAUAACUCAAGAAAUCUACGACAUUUGUUGAAUGUACAGAUCUAUAUCGGCAACUGAGAGAAGGGCGGGCUAUAGGAUUGCCUAGGUUUGGCAUGACUACCGAGCAAUCUAAAACGGCUCCGCCCUAAGAUGCAGGGCAUGAAUAAAGGUCGAACCCAGUGCACAAGGCUCCCGCUUUGCGCAGGGUCUGGGAGAGGUGAAUGUCGGCUAGUCUUACCCCCAUUUAUGGAGAGGCUGCUCCCAAAUCUCGAACCCGAGACCUACCGCUCAUGGGCAUCGCACAAGUGCGACCUCUAUGCAGGGCAUGAAUAAUGUAACAAAAUUCAACCAGUCGUUAAAACAGCGAAGAAAUCCGUGUUACCUGUAACAAUGUCCCUGAAGAACUCAACGGACUCCGUCAACUCCUCGGCCGUCUUACCCUUCCACUUAACGGCGAGCAGAGGCACGGCGUUUUCCUCCAAGUACACUCCGAUCGCCGUGAACUUCACGAAGUUCCCCUGAAUCUCCAGCCCCCUCACCCCUGCGCACGUUAGCAACCAAAAUACCGUCAAGCGGAAGCAAAAGCAAGCAACAAACAUUCAAACAAUCAGAAUCGCGGAUAUAAGCGCCGGAGAUGCGAAGUUACAAACCUGCGCCGCCGAGGAACAGAGUGUUGGGGGAGCCCGGAGGUUUGACGGACGGUGGAAACGCAGUCGUCUCGACCUGGAGUCCGGCGAGCGAUGGCGUUGGAGCCAUUUGACAAUUUUGUUGUUAUUGUGUAGAGAGAGAGAUGGGGUUUGCUUUCGGAAACGGUGGGUUUAAAUAGAGAUGGAAAGUGGUGGGUCCAUUGAGUGACGGGAGAGGGUUUGAUGAGUAAGAUGCGGCGGUUGCGUGGGAGCCUUAAAGACGUGCGGGCGGCUUGGGGGAAGCGUCAACAAACUCAUAUUCUGGAACUUACUACCCCAGAGAGAGAGAGAGAGAGAGAGAGAGAGAGAGAGAGAAUUUAAGGUUAAAGGGCAAAGAAGAAGAGACCCACUUCUCUUAUGUCAAAAGCUGGUAAUGGGUACAUCUCGGGGACGUGAAAGAGGUAACGUGGACAGCUACUACUUAAAGGGUCAUCAAAUGUUUUUAAUUGUGAAAACAAUGAUUUAAUUUUGUGGUUAAUGAAAGUGCAAAAAAGAAGAAACGAACUUUUCUAGGAUAAAAAGGUGAUUAUGGGUCCAUCUUGGGGGACGUGAAAGACGUAAAGGUAGACAGCCACUUCUUGAAGGGUCAUCAAAUGAUUUUAAUUAUGAAAACAACAUACUUAUAUGAAUUUUUUAUAUUUUUAAAAGUUUGGGAUGUAUAUUAUAUGUAUGUAAAGGUUAUAUAAAUUAUAAAUUAUUUAGAUAAUAUUUGUUUUUUUAUCCUAAGCAAGCAUAUUUUAUAUAUAUAUAUAUAUAUUUUUUUUGAUAGAAAAUGAAAAUAUUAUAGCGAAAAACUUCUUGCACAACUAGUACUAAUACGGUCAAAUUGAAAAGUCAGGUGAGCAUCCACAUGGAGUCAAGCAUCCCAAAUACAAACAUUCGAACUAUUAAGAUCAAUAGACGCCAAAGCAUCCCAAGUACAUAAAACAUUCACAUAUGUAUGUUCUUCUAUAAGAAAUAACAUAUUAUUCAAUAAUUAUUUACACAUGAUCAGUGGCAGAUCCAGGAUUUUAAUAUAGGAUGAUCCUAAUAUACAAGUUCCAGAAAAAAAAAAAACAAAAAAAACAUUGAAAAAUAAAUGGCAAACUACAACUUCGACAAAAAAUAUGUAUGAACUAACAUUGUAACACAAUCUUCAACAAAAAAAAAAAGCAUUGUAACACAAUUCAAGUAAUAUCAGACAAUCGUAACGAAUGAACAAUAAAUAUGUAUGAACUAACACUAAAAUAGAUAUGAAAAAAUUCCUAAGAAAUUAACAAUGAAUAGGCUGAACUUAGUUUAAAACCCAUUAGUGUGUGAUUGUUUGGCUUGUUAUCAAAAACCCUUGCCAAAAACCAUUAUCAAAGACCUUUACAUAUAUGUAUUCACUGUUCAGCCUAAAAAACUAAAACUAAAAAUCCUAAUAAAUUAACAAUAAAUAUUUAUGAACUAACACUAAAAAUAAGUAUGAACUAACACUUAACUAGAAAACUUACAAAUAUUCUGAAAGUGCUGUUAAUGGCCUUCGCUGGCUUGGGUGUCAUGAGAAAUAAUAGGCAAUGAAGUAUAUUAUAUUUGAUAAAAUUGAAUUUGAUUGAAAGUAGACUAAUGAAAAGUCAUGGGCUUUUAUUAAAUUUCUAAUUGUUUGCCUUUUUAAUAAAGAUGGUGAGUGCUAUCACGUGAAGGCUCUCAUGUGGGUUUUAAAUGUUUUUUUAAUGACUUGGAGAAUUUUUUCAAGCAACGGGAACACUCACCUCAUCAUUAGUUCCCGACAAAUAAAAACAGUCAUGUGUUUCUCUAUUUUUUUAACUAAAGUUUUUCAGCUGUCAGCUCUUGGCUUUUUAUUUAUGAUUAAAACAAUAAGUCAACAACUUUAGCUCUGUCUGGCAUUAAACUUUCAUUUUUCAUAUCUGUAAAUUUGUAAAUCUGCCCAGAAUUAUUUUCUACUAAAAUUCAGUUAUGCUAGUAUUCAUUACAAGAAACAAAUUUGAUCUUCGGUUCUUUGAGAUUGAACAAAUUAAUUCCUAAAUCUAAUCCGCCGACGACACCCAUCAUUCUCAACCUGAACGAUUCUUUCGAAGUUCGUGCAAAGGGAUUUUCCCUUUUUCAAACGAAAAAGAAGAAGACGAAUCGAAAACUUACAACGGGAAUGAAUUUCAAUCUUCAUCCUUCUCUUGAUCUUUCGACGAGAAAAAGGAAAAGAGGAAUUCAGAAAUAAAACAAAUAUGAACAUUUUAUUUUUAUUUUUGUUUUUAUUUUUGAGUCGAUGUAGGGAGGAGGGGCCAGUGCAGUACAGCGCCAUAAGUAUUUUCGAUGUGAAUGUUGAAUUGUACGAUCACCACGGAAAGGGCAUAUAGGUUUAGUUCUUCUAGUUACAAGCGUACGGUAUAUCUUUGUCUGCAUGCUGAAUUCUUUGUGUAGCCAUGGAUUUCAAACCAAACUCAAAGUUAUUGUACUUCUAAAACAGGAUUCCUUGGGUAUGUUUCUUGCAUAUAUGUACCUGCAAACUCAAAAACAUGAAAUCAACUCUUAAAACUAAAGCAUUGUUCCAAUCAACUUUAGAGAAAUAUUUUAGUUUGUUUCAAACUUUUAUGAUAUUGCAUAGUUUUGUACUCAUUGACAAUUAUUACUAUGUAGAUACGUGUUUUGCUAAAGAGCAACUUCAUCCCAAUUUUUUAGGCUGGCCUAAAGUCCAAAAAAGAGGGCGGCCCAAAACGUGUUAUGUGACGUCACAUAGGCCUACUGAUUUUUUUUGCGUUAGGCGCGUGGGAUACACACGCGAGUGAGUGCGCAUUGACAAUAGGAAAAGCACGACGAGGCCCGCCGUAUCAACGCACUAACUUGUAUCGGGGAGAAGCCACAUGGCUCGUUUUGGGCUGUUGGAUUUCUAAAGGCUAGUUUUUUGGACAGUUGAAUUUCGAACGGUCAAAAAAAUUUCAAAUUCAAACCCAACGGCUAGUGAUGUGGCACGUUAUGGGCCGUCCGAUCCCAAGAUCAACGGUCCAUGAUCUUCGUCCAAAAAACAAAAAAAAUACAAAAUGGUUAGAAUUAUGACCAUUGGCCACGUGUCCACAUUUGGGUUAUUGGAUUUGAAUCUUUUUCAAAUCCAACGGUUCAGAUUAAUUAACUUAAUAAAAAUUAUUAAAAAAUUAUUAAAAAUUGUUUAAAAUUACAGAAAAAAUUAAAAAAAAAGUUUAUUAAUUCUUUCUAUAAAUACCUAACCAUCAUCUUCCACCUUACACCACAUUUCAAUAUUUUCAACACUUUCAACCAAAACUUUCAUAUACUUUUUUUUGUGAAAAAAUGGCCCCGUGGAAGCUCAUUGAAGAUGUUACGUUGUGUCAAUGUUGGGUUCAAAUUACUCAUGACCCGUUUACGGGUAAUGAGAUGCAGUUACGAGAACUGUGGAGCAGAAUUACGGAAGCGUUUUGAGAUAGGCUUGGAGAUCGCACAAGAAGUAGUCAAGAUCUUCAAGGUCGUUGGAAAAAACUCAACAUAUCAUUUACUUGUUGGAAAAACGCUAUUUCUCAUGCUUCCACUAAUCUGAGUAGUCGAAGAAGUUUAGCGGAUCAGGUAACAAUAUUUUUAUUUAUUUAUAUAUAUUCCACCCGCAUCAAUAUUUUAAUUUAUUUAUUUGUGUUACACCCGCAUUGCGCCACAUUUGAAGAGUGGGAAGGGACGUCUAAAGAAGUGUCGAAGACCCAGCCGACUCAUCGGUCCCUAAGACCUCAAGGUAAAAAGGCGGAAAUAAAAAAAGGGAGUUCUUCCAAAAAUGACUACACAAAAUGUAUGGACGAACUUGCUCGCCAAGGUGAACUGAACAUGGCACGGGAAACGGCUAGAGAUGAGGCAAAAGCUGCGACUAUGGAAGCAAUCUUAGCAGCUAUUGAGAAACGUGAUGCGGCUAAUGAGAGACAAAGAGAAGUACAUAAUCGAGAAGGCCAGAUGCUUAGAGAAGAAAGGAUGACUUAAGUAGAUCGUGACACUAUAAACAAGCUUCUAGUAGGAAUGUCUCUGAAUUCUAAAUAUUUUUGGACAUCGGAAAAAAGAGACAUGGUGCAAAGGAGGCAUGCAAGAGACGAGGAAACAAGUCGAGGGGGUUCUAACUACACAGAUCUUACCAACAAAGAUCCAAGCACCACAUAUCCUAGCUCCUUUUCCAAUACAAAAUUUUGACCCUGUUUCCCCUAAAUCAAUAAACAUUUGUUAAUAUAUCACCAAAUUGUUUAAUUUAUGUGAAUUGGGGACACCUUACAUGCCUACAUUUCCCCCCAAAAUUUGAUAAAUUAAAUACCUUUGCUUAUUCAUAUUCUCAAAAUAUUAUCAGAGAAACUAAAGAGCUCAAGCAAGUAAGCCAUUGUUAACAGUUGCACAUCCUACUAAACUAAGAAAUAUAAGGGGAACAUCUACCAAAGGCAUCCUACACGACAAUUCUAAAUAUAAGAAAACAUGCAACCAGCAUGUAUCCAAGAGGAUCAUGGCUCUCUGUGGUCAUGAUGGAGAAAUGCUUAAGCUUAGACAGCACAUGCAUUAUAAAUUUAUAAACUAAGCUAAACAACCAUUUAGAAGUCCAUGAAUAAUGUACUUGGACGCCCCAUCACUAUCUAUUGCAUCUGUUAAUAAUUUAUUACCUAAAAGGAAAGACACUUUCAUCUCCUAUUGAAACAGCCUGUAUAAUCUAUUAAUAAUUUAUUACCCCACAAUACUUUCCCAACCAAUUUAUAUCUUAGGCCAUCUUCAACCGAUGGCUGGUCAAAUGGCUCGUUUUAGCCUUCUGGCCCUCAAAGAUUCUCCAAGAUAUUAAUAUUUUAAUAAACAGUACAAGGCAAUAUUUGCCUCCGUCUCCAACCGAGGGCCAGAGGGCCAUAGGGCUCGUUUUAGCCAUUUCACAAAAAACCAUUUCCAACCGAAGGCCAAAGGGCCAUAGGGCCAAACAUAGUUUAUUAUUUAAAAACAAAUUUUGUGAAAUAGAAGUUAUAGGAAAAAAAAUGGAAUUUAAAAAAAAUAUAUGAAACAAAUUUUGUGAAAUAGAAGUUAUAGGGAAAAAAUGGAAUUUAAAAAAAAUAUGAAAUAAAUUUUGUGAAAUAGAAGUUAUAGGAAAAAAUAGAAGUUAUAUGAAAAAUUUUGUAAAUAAAAAAUAAUAAUAAAACUGUAAAAAAAAAAAAAAAAUGCAACGGCUACUAGCCGUUGCAUUUGAAUUUUUUCUUAAGAAAUCUUGUCGGUUAUAAUCGACAGAAAUAACAAAACAUUAAAAAAAAAUAGCCAGCCCUCCAGCCCUCUCCGAUUUCGUGGGGCCCUCUCAGAUUCCAGAGUCCUCUGGCCUAGCCCUCGGUUGGAGACAGUUUUCGGGCUAUUUUCGGCCCUCUGGCCCUCUAGACCUUUCGGUUGGAGAUGGCCUUAUGGUGAAGCCUAGGCAAACACAACAGAAUCAAGAGGUACAAAUAAAGGCCAAACAACCUGUAUAAAUUUUUUAGAACCAUCCAUGGUGAUAAAACCCCAACUAACCAAAAUUUUACUCCAACGUUUCAACCCUAGUACCCAAUUCCUAACUCCCAGAUCUUAACCCAUGCUUGCUACCCCAAAAGGACAAAAUUUCAAUGUCGAUUAACUUUCAUUACCAAACAACAGAACCCAGAAUCCAAAAAGUAUGACCUUUAACAAUGACAACAUUGAACCAGCAUUAUAGUUGAGAAUAAAUAAAAAAUCCCUAAUCUUUACUCAGAUCACAAAUUCAUAAUCUUGUAGAUUGUAAGAUGAGUGAAAUGAAAGAUGGAACCUUUUUUAGCAAAGAUCAAUUACCAGCACAAAUUCAAGCUCCCAAUUUGCUAAAAAUAUGGAAGAAAAAAAAGAUAAUCACAACACAUACUUCAACCGGUCCUCUCAUUCCUUCCCAAAAAUCAUAAACAAAAUUUAACCAACACUAAAUUUUCCCAAAUUCGAACCACUUUUCUAAUCUAUCUUGAAAAACUAUAAACGCAUUUUAAUUCAACAUUCAUGAAUGGGUGCUCAAAGCGGGAAAAAAACCAAAGGAGAAAAAACAUACCAAAAAAAAUAACAGGACUGUUGAGUGCAUAAAGUUAUACUUUUAUGCCCUCUUUUACUUAGGUUUUUGACUUAAAAUCUCUAUGCAUCACAAGGUAUGUUGUUGUUUAUAUUGUAUUUCAGGAUGAAAGUAAGGGCUUGAAGAAAUCAUCUUAUUUUGAAUAUUUUAAGAACCUAGAAUGGAUAGUUUGAAGCCCAACUCGCCCAAGCCCAGACCGUAGCCCACAAGUAACCCAAGAUCAUCUAGAAAAGGCCCUUGCAAAACAGCCAACUUGCGAGCUUUGCCCUGAAGUGCUCAGAACGAAUUAGAUAAUGGGCCAUAUGUGGUUAGAAAGCCCUGGAAGUCUUCUUUCUGAUGGUCUUUACAGCUUGUGAUUUGAAGGUUUCGACAAUAAAUUAUGACAGAAUAAAGAGGAGCUGUUCAAUUACAAAUUCUGAUAACAACUAGUUUUCAAUUACUCCUAUACUAAAAGCUAAUUGUAAUGAGCUAUAAAUGAGAGUCAAUUCAAGGAUGUAAAUGUGUCAGAUGUUAGAAAACUCCUAAGCCUUUUAAUAGGAGACAAAUACACAACAUGAGGCGAGAAGAGGAGAAAAAAAACAUAAAAACAUAGAAUCUAGAGAGAGUAGGUGUAAUACCCUGAAAAACUUAAAAUAUAUGAUUAUGUGGAAUUUUUUUAUCGGAAAGUGAAAUAACUAAAAUGCCCUAGGUGGCUAAAUGUAAUGUUACGAGGACGUAUUUUAUCCUCAUAUAUUUUGUCAUGUUUCUUGACAUAUUUGGACAGAGCUUGAUCUAACAAACGAGUAGGCGCAAACUAUUCAUGAAACAGAGUUAUAACGAAGUAAUUAGAGAUGUUUUCAUUAUUGGAAAAAAAAUAGGGUUGGACGCUACCAAGUGGCAGCAAGAGAGAGAGGAAAUGUGGGAUGUGGGAAAGAAAAGGAGGAGGGGAAGGACAAAUCAGAGGAUAGAGCUAGGAGGAAGGGAGGGAAGGAAGAAGGAGGAAACUGGCCAACCCCGUUUCUCCACCCAACCUGGUUCCUUGACCCGGUCCUAACUUCUCCAUCCGACCUCCGUUUGAGGUGAUUCCAGUGUUUAUAAAAAGCUCUCAUCGAGCCCAACAUCCCUGUGUUGUUAGAUUUCUAGGUUUCUAACCCAAAUUCAUAAAUUGAAGCCACAAGACCCUCGGGUGUUCCAGCGGCUUUAUGCUUUUUCUGGUGAAUCCGUCAACGAAUAUUGUCAAUCUCCACCACCAAAAGACUUCCCUCAACCCCAGGAGCAAGGCCAAAGCCUUGGAUGAGGCGUCGGAGUUCAUUUUGGUGGCGAAUUGACAACUACCCAAAUUCUAAGGUUCUGGCGGGUUUAUGGCGAUUUGACGCUUUUUUCGGCCAAAUUAAACUUGGCCAUAGGUAUAAAGUUUGUUCCCCUUGACUUGUUCUACAAUUCUGUGAAAUUUGGAAAUUUUUUGAAAUAGUUGAAAUUUUCUAGCGAGUCGGGGCAGUCGACCGCCACCCACGGCGACGCUGGCCAGAGGGAUGUCGAUACUAUUUUUAGGCUAAAUUAGAUGCCUUAAUUUCAGUUUUGAUAUUCGUAUGACGUAGGUUGAUCGUUUAAACCUAAAUUCACUGCGAUACCUUACUUGAUCAAUUCCCGAAUUAGAUUUGCAAGUAUGUAAAAUAAAACGUUGACUGCCACUUGAUUUCGUGAUUGGCGGAGAUCCGACCGUUGGAUCAGAAUGAAAUUUUAGUAUGUUGUUCUAGAAGCGUAAGGUAAACUACGAAUGGCUUGAUCCUUUCUUUUAGGGUAUGUAAGCAGUCUAACCAGGAUGUUAGAUGCAGCCAUAAACUCAACAAAUUUUUUUUUUUUUUUUUUUUGUGGUUAGUUAGAAUUAUAAUAAAAACAAAUUUAAUAGAAAUAAAGUGACAAAAUAAAAUAAACUAAAAGAAAACAAUUUUUGAAAAUUAAAUUGUAAAAACCUAGGGUUCCGCCAUCACCUUAACAAUCUUAUGCACUUCUUCCAAUUACUUAUGAAUUACAUAUGCAUAUUUUGAAGCCUAGGUUUUCCUAAUAUAUGCCUACUUGGACCCCCAACAUAGAGCAUAUAUAAAAAAUGCAACCCGUCUGUGUUAUUCAAAUCAAAUCUAAACAUGCAUGACUUAUUAAGCUUUGUGAAACCUUUUAAAAAACCAUACAACCCUUAAGACGUGGUAUUCAUCCUAAGUGAACUUGCACAUAUUAAUCACAAGAAGCCUUUGUCAAUUUCAAGGACUGGCCUCCGACCAAAAUUGCAUCAAAUUAUUUUUCUAAAGAUCCUAAUGGGAGCUUAGCAUUAAGACAAAUAGAUAGUUUAAACCAGUGAUUAAUAAUUCAAACUUGCAUGCAUAAUAUCAUAACCAAAUUGAAAAGAAACUACAUAUUCUUGCUAAGGCUCGUGGCAUCACCCUAGCAAACGGAAUUUAGUUACAAACAAUCAUACAACGAAAUAUUAUUAAAAAUAAGGAUAGAAAUCACCUUGAAAAUAAACUUGAAUCCAAAGGCUCUCUAAAGUGUGCAUGCGUUUUUUUCCUAUCCCCCUAUCUUCUCUAAAAAAACCCUAAUGGCUAAAAAGCCUUAUUUAUACUACUAUAAAAUAAAACCCUACCUAGAAAAGGUCUUGGAAUAAAACUAGGAAACCAAAUAAAUUAGAAAACAAAAUCCGAUUAAUAAAAUUCUCCCAAAAUCUGCAGAGUCUCAAAACAGCCACGUUUCUAGAUCUUCAGGGCUCCAAAACAGGCCCAAAACGGCUAGAAUUAAAGCUUGAGAUGUUCUGAGCAUAAUUGUAUAAGGCCUCAAACCUGAAAGACACCACAUUGGAUGCCAAAAAACCCAAAGAAGCCCAAAACGUUUCAUUGACAGCACUGCGCACUGCUCAUUUAUUUGAUCGCCAUAGAUAAAGCGCUACGUAUUGAAUUAUGAAACUUUGAUACAAUCAAUUCAACAGACUCACGAACAUCCUCCAAUUGGAAUCACUCCAAAAUUCAUCUGUUUGAUCACUUUUGGCUCCAGAGGAAGUCGAAUGUCCUAUAUUAAGAAUAUAAAUCAAAGUAUUAAAAUUCUACCAAAAUAACCAAUAAAUUAAAAUUAAGAAUAAGGUAAAAUAUAUAGUAUAAUAUAGACUCAUCAACGUGUUAAAGUAAAAAUAUGGGUUAGGGGCCUUAGGCAGUUAACUAGAGCAGGGUGUCAACCCUUAGCAUUCAAGUUUGAAACUCUUUUUUUUUUUUUUUUUUUUUUUAAUUUGAAUAGUUUAUAUUCUUUGUUUGACAAGACAAAAUAUAUUUUAAAGUACUCGUUUUAUGUGAAAAGGGAAUCGAACUUGGGUGCAAAUGGUUAGACCCUCCCAACUGGUUGACACAAAGCCAGAGAUUUGGUCCAAAAUUUGGGGUUUGGUUGGGUUCAAAAGCAAUGAUACAUGCAUAUCAGAUUAGGCAUAUUUACCAAUUGACAUCCAUAUUUGUUGAUUUGAAUUAAACAUAACAAAACAACACUAAUAUUCCUCAUAAAACAUGAUCAUUUUUCUUUAAAUUAAAUAAGACAUAGCACUUUCCUAUAACUUCAUAGAUUGUAUGUAAAUAAUUCACUAAGCACAGAACAGGAAUCCCUCUCAAGUUUUAUUUCUCCUCUCUUAGUUUUCAUGCCUCCACUUUUUCAUUUCGGGCUUUAGCACCAUAAGAUUCCUUGCACCCAUUCAACAAUUUAGAUAACCUUGUGGCCAAACUUUGCUUUGCUGCAGGAGAAACACCGUGCUUUCCAACGAUCGAUUCUAGAACUGCCUCGGAAAGUAGUUUGUUUUCUAUCACCGUGUUUGCAGCUUUAGGUACGGAUGCAUCUCUAGAGAAGCUGAUCUGUGGCGAAAACGAGGGGGAAAGAUGUCAAAAUCCGAUGUAAACUACAGAAGUAACCAUCCAAAAGUAGGAUUACUAACCGUU
rnacentral:lncRNA from 1 species